UCCUUGAUGGCUCAAUGGGUUAAGAAUCUGGCAUUGUUACUGCUGUGGUUCAGGUUCAAUCCCUGGCUAGGGAA
rnacentral:tRNA from 1 species